CCAAAGCACUAGGAAUUUCAAAUUCAUAGAAAAGAAAACACGCAAAUCUAGUUAGUGCAGCUACAUACAAGGAGAAGGAAGAAAACUUUUCAAAUCACUUGUUAACUUGGACAUUGGGGCAAAAAGAUAUCCUGAUGGCAGCUUCUGGACAAGAGAAACGUCUCUGUAGCUAUCACGUUAGGAUGGUGGCUAGAAGGGUGGAAAAGCAAAUGCUGAAGCUUCGUUUGGAAACUCUUCUCACGCUUGAUGCUGCGACAGAGAUGAUAAUGGAUGAGAUUCUGGAAGAUCAUAUAACCAUAAUGAAAAUCCUGGAGGACCUCGUCUUAGAGGGAGACACCAGUGACGCUGAACCCUGUUGCAGCGACACCAGCGACGCCAGCGACACAGAUCCCUGUAACGCCCGUAAUGCAGAUGCAGAACCCUGUAACGCCUGCGAUGCAGAACCCUGUAACGCCUGCAAUGCAGAACCCUGUAACGCCUGCAAUGCAAAUGCGGAACCCUGUAAUGCCGACUCCAUUAAAGUAAUGUAAUUUACGUUCAUCUGUGUGCCGCGCCUUAUAAAGAGAGUUCUGUUUCUAAAAAUGC